ACUCUGGUUUCUCUUCAGAUCGUAUAAAUCUUUCGCCUUUUACUAAAGAUUUCCGUGGAGAGGAACAACUCUGAGUCUUAAACCAAUUUUUUGAGGCCUUGUUUCGGCAAGGCUAUAUUUAGAAUGUCUAACAACAGAACUACUACUGUGCAUUACUGAUAGUUUGUAUAUCUACUCACUGCUUUAAGUGACCUACACAGCCAAGCGUUGAAAUAGAGCUCUGGUAGACAGCUUGUGUGUGUGCUUGUGUGUGUUUUAAGGGGAAAAAACUGUGAGGAGAAGGCAUGUAGAUUUUAAGCCCAUCCUGGUCUAUAUAGCAAGCUUCAGGGCAUACAUGGACUUUGAUCAAAAACAAGCUUACCAUUAGCCACAGUUAAAAUUCUGCUCAGCACCAGACCAACAUUCUCUUGAAGAGAGGGGCUAAGUCAGACCCAAUGAAAGACUCCGUGAUGAUGGAGAGGGGUAUAGCCGGAUCAUAUUGCAGUGUUUCCUCUGGUGGACCCCCUUUUCCAGCCUGAGGGCUAGGGCUGAAGGUCCCAGGGAAGCCAAUGUUUCGGACUUGACUUUGAGGCUGACAAAAGACUCCAGGUUGUUGUGGCAGGGAGAGAAAAGAUUUGGGGAGAUGCUGUUCUCAGCUAGCUGGGAGCUAAAUAUUGUGCAGUCUCUGCAGUCCUGAGUGUUUAAACAGCAGGAACCUGACUAGGGCCUGGUCUCCCCUAUUUGUCAGGUGAAUCAGAUAGUCUGACACUCCCACCCGCUGUGCCCUAGGCUCUGACAUUUCAUG
rnacentral:lncRNA from 1 species